CGCUUCUCCUCUUCCAUCUCUUUCUUCUUUCACGCUUCUCUUCUUCCGUCUCUUUCUCCUUCAUCGGCGACUUCUUCUUCUUCUUCUAGAUUUUUCGAAACCUUAACCCUAAAUCUCUUCUUCCUCUUCUAACCAUCAACGAAACCUCUUUUUCUCCGUGGAUCUUUCUUCCCUCUCUUCGAUCUUCUCAUUCUAGAUCCAUAGAUCUUCGUUCUUCUCACAGAUCUGAGAUUAACAACAAUCCCGAUCUAGAUUUCUCCCAAAUCGGCUUUGUAGUGACGGAGAAGAAUCGGCGGUGGAGGAGAAUCGGCGGUGGAAGAGAAUCGACGGUGGAGGAGAAUCGACGGUGGAGGAGGAUCGACGGUGGAGGAGAAUCGUCGAUCCUCCUCCACCGGCUUUGUAUUUUAAUAAUUAAUUAUGUAUAUUAACUAAGCAAAAAUAAAAGUCUAAAAAAUAUAUGAGACUAAAAUACAACUAAACAAGAAAAAAGAAUGUUAAAUGUUAGAGAUAUUGAAGAUCAAAUUUUGAUAAGAUGAAUUUUACUAUUUUAAAUUGAAUUUUGAUUAACUAACCUAAGAAGAUUAUCUAUUAAUGUGGCCUCUAAAUUUUUAAAACCCAAUGUGGCCUAAGGCAAAUGUCUUUUUUUUUUUUAUUAUUAUUCAAGUAGUCACGGCUCUGGUUGUAUAGUUUGUUAGUCUCAAGCUCUAUAUAAACAGUUGUAAAGUCAUCAUUCGAAGGUUAACGAGAAUUUCAGUCUUUAUCUAUAUAAUGAAGUCGAUAAAUUUAGGCCUUAAUGAUCAACUUUCAUAUCACGCUAAGCAAUUAACAUGUAAUUAGGGUUGUCCACUUUGAAUAGUUUCGUGGAUUUUAAGGACGAAAUCUUAUUUUUUCAUGUUUUUAGUCAUUGUAGAGAACUUUCUAAUGUGGUUUCUUAUUUACAAUUUCUAAUGUGUUGGUUUUUAUUUGCAGCAUUAGUGCGACCGACGUUUUUAAUUGCAGCAUCUCCUGUUCUGUUUAUUCUUAGGCAUGAAAUGGAUUAGAGGGUUGCAUCCACCUGAAGUUGCAUCAACAGUUGGGGUUUCAAUCACUGGAUCAACAGAGGAUCAGGUUAAGGAAGGGUGAAAUAGACAAGGAUGGCAAUUCAAUCAAGUAACUACAUACAACUAUUCCAGCCUACAGAGCUUAUUGCGGUUUAUCAGAAAUUCAAUUAGUCAUCACAGAGAACUUCCUCCAGAAGUCCAGGUCUUUGGGGAACGUAUCCAGAAGGAUUGGAUAGUAAUUUUGCUUCUAGGUUCCCUACGUUGAUGAUCAUAGUCCAUAGAAUUAUGUCUCACAACUGCAAGACAGAAAACGCGUUUAAGACUUACUUCCAAGAUAGCGAAAUGGAUGGAUGAUGAUGUUUAACACACUUCCAAGAUAGCGAAAUGGAUGGAUAAGUCUAGACUCAUAAUUUUGUUUAGAAGUCAUUGACCUUUUAUGAAAAAAACAAACUAGUUUUCACCAUUGGCUAUUUGCUCGCCAAAUUUCUUUAUCCUCACCUCCAUCGUUACCAAAACAUGCUAAUGUCAACUAACACAUUCUUCUAUAUUGAUUAUCAGAAAUGGGAUCAAAUUAUCAUAAA